GCCUACAGUGGUGCAUGCCUGCAGACCCAGCUACUCGGGAGGCUGAGGUGGGAGGAUCGCUUGAGCCUAGGAGUUCUGGGCUGUAGUGGGCUAUGCUGAUCGGGUGUCCGCACUAAGUUCGGCAUCAAUAUGGUGACAUCCUGGGAGUGGGGGACCACCAGGUUGCCUAAGGAGGGGUGAAGUGGCCCAGGUUAAAACUCUUAUGCUGAUCAGUAGUGGGAUUAUGCCUGUGAAUAGCCACUGGACUCCAGCUUGGAAACAUAGUGAGACCCCAUCUCUU
ensembl:misc_RNA Metazoa_SRP Metazoan signal recognition particle RNA